rnacentral:rRNA from 1 species
CUUUCUUUGCUGGCGACCGGCGCACGGGUGAGUAACACGUAUCCAACCUGCCUUUACUCGGGGAUAGCCUUUCGAAAGAAAGAUUAAUACCCGAUAGCAUAAUGAUUCCGCAUGGUUUCAUUAUUAAAGGAUUCCGGUAAAGGAUGGGGAUGCGUUCCAUUAGGUUGUUGGUGGGGUAACGGCCCACCAAGCCUUCGAUGGAUAGGGGUUCUGAGAGGAAGGUCCCCCACAUUGGAACUGAGACACGGUCCAA